UAACUUUGGAAGGAAGAAGGGGAGAAGGUCAUAUCCGCCUAGCCAGCGAAGCCUGCAAGUCAAGUGUCCGUGCCAGAUCCGGAGCCUGUGUUCCCGUUCCGCAUGGAGAUGGGGAUCCUCCCGUUCAGAGGGACCUGAGCAUUGCCCUUUGGUUGCCCUUUUCUAGUGCAUGCUACCUGUGGAAAUUGAAUGAGUCUUAUUGCCAUGUUACUUCAUUGUGGUUGCACUCCACGUGCCAAAAAUUAACAGUAUUAAUGAUCCAUGCCAAGUCCCUAAUUUCCUAGUUUCAAGUUCAUUCUGCUGUACAGGCUGCUUUAUUCUAUAGCUAGGUUGUAGAUCAUUAGUAGAUACCUUACUGUCAAGUAGGAAGUUUUGCAGAUUAUUUUAAUUACAGAAUGAGCCUUCAUAAUAAGUGAAAUGAACAUUACCUUUUAAAUAUACUUCUGCUUGGUUGUUGUUAAUAAUGAUGGUGGAUGGAAAGAAGAAAGCAUUUCACAAUGUGCACUACACAGCUUUUUAUCAAAACCCUGCAGCAAAGAGGCAAACCUGUCCAGUAGAAUCUUUGGUAUGUAGAUUGGAUGGCAUAGUAGGUCACAGCUGAGGGAAAAAAAAGCAACGCUAGCUACUCAAAUCCCCCAACCCUACAUAUAUCUUGAGUUUUGCAGGUUGUUUAAUUUUAAAUCUUCUUUCAGCAUAAGAGAGCUAAGAGUUUAUCACUAACUUCUGCCUCUCUUAAUAAUUCAUCUGCAUUACAGUUGCAUAGGCUUAAUUAGCUGCUUCUGCUUCGGUUUUCUCAUGUCAUGUUGUCUUUUUCAUUAGAUCUCUCUUCUUCAUUUGUGUUAGAUGUUUGCACAUUUCCUAGCUUUAAGCAAUGUGGGCUAUAAUUGGGAUCUAAAGUUGGAACACGUCUUCAGUUACCGUUUUGUUAAUUCCUUUUAUUUUCGUGUCAAACCCGUGUGUUAUCAUGUAUUGCCAAUGAAGUGAAAGAGAAGUCAAAGGUAAUCCACGUUGGCUUUUUUGCUUCUAGCAAAGGUUUGUGUCUUUAGACUUGUUUUCUGUUAUAAAUGUUCUAUGAAAGUAUCCAUACUAUUUUCAUUUUCUUUUUUUCAUAGAGGCUGUGCACAAGCAUGUUACAGAAUGCUGGAGGCAUUUAAGCUUGUAAAAUCAAAUGUAUCAAUGAUGUAGUUUUCUCAAAUUCCCUGCAACUCUUUUAUCGCUCUUUUUCCUUCACAUAUAAAUUUUUUAUUUUUUUUUAAUAUAAUAAUAAGCUGGGACUGAAUUAGUGUGAACAACUGAGUUGAAACACUGCUAAAGUUGUUAAGUUAAAAGGGGAAAAAGGAGAAAAUAGAAGGCAGAAGUAGCAGACUGGAAGCUGGAGAACAUGAUUGAAAACAGGAAGGGCAGUCCCAGCAUACAGAUAGUUUAUCAGACGUAUGGAACAGGCUUUGUUUUUCCAUGUGAUAUUUGGAAUGACUAUGGGGACACAUCAUGCUUUGUUUCUGGACAGUGAUAUUUUGGGGUGAAAAGUUGCGGAGACAGCAGUCUUCUGCAAAGCUCUGGUCUUAAGGUGCUGAAACUCUGGAAGAUUUAAAUAAAAGUAGUAAUAGACAACACACUGCUGUUGCAUAACUUAAUGGCAAAUUAACAUUCUACUUUGAAAUGAUUGGUUUCAUCAGCUUUUCAGGUAAGAUCUGGGCUCCUGUAUUUUUGAAGUUGAAGGUAGCUAUGGGUGAUUAUUCUGCCGAUCUAUAAAUCAAGCAACUUGUGGAAGUAAACUAGAAAAAUUUUAAUAACCUUGUUCCUCAUCUCUUCUGUGUCAUUUUUCAUACUAAAAAAAAAAAAAAAAGUCUUUAAAAAACUUCUCUGUAAGCCAUCUGAUAUCUUUAGGAUUUGAACACAGUUCUGUCACAGUGACAAAUACUUGGCUUCCAAAAAUUUUUAUUUUCAUUGUGCAAAUAUGUGUGUUUUCAGCAUAAUACAAGGCAGAUUUUGGAUGUGUACUGCCGUGAAUUUACCCAGGUAGAGUGAACUUUAUAUGUUUACCGCUUGCUUAUUGAGUUCAAACAUGUGAUUGAUUGGACUGUAACAGAUUUUGUCUGUGAUAAAGCCACUGAAGUUAACUUAGCUGAAGAUAAAAAGUUAACUUAGAGUUAUUAAAUUCUAUUUCUCUGACUACUUUUGCUGCUCAUGGCAUGUUUUAAACAUUAAUUUACUUAUUUGUUAUGUGCUGUAGACUGUAAUUAAGUAGAAUCCACAAUUCAAAACAUGGAGAGAUUAAUGAAAAUUUCUGCUGCUGUCAUGUGGGAUGACAUGUCCUUGAAGUUGAGGAUUGAAAAUGAAAUGGCUUUGAUAAUGGAAGAUAUGUUUUCAGUUUUGUGAAGGGCUGAAUAGAUCUUCUGAUACAGUAAAUUAACAACCAGCUGAUCUUCUGGAGUGCUGCUUAAAAGGGCUGUGUUUGAUUUUGAAAAAGUGAUAUUUUUUUUGGUUUGUUUGUUUGAAACAGCCAUUAAAAUGAAAUUAAUUGCAGUGACAUGCUUGCCACUGGAUAGGAA